UGUAUAAGUAAUUGAAUUGUGGCAUUUCAAGGAUACAGCAAGAAUAAAGAAGGGAAAACAGGUAAACAGCAUUGGAAAAAAUUAUUUCCUUCUCCAGACGUUUACCUAUAAAGAGCAAAUCUACGCAUCUGCUAUGGCGGUAUGGUUCUACUAGCGAACAGUGGUCCCGGUGCGCGCACUCGCGCUGGCUAGUCGUAAGUAGUCGAUCCUACGUCUUUUUAACCCUAAACCUAAUCCUAACCUUAGAAAUAAUUUAUUUACUUAGUUUAAAAAAAUUAUUUACUUUGUUCGAAAAAACCCUAACCCCCGAUAUAUAUAUCUUUAUAUAUAAAAGUGAAGUUGUGUGCUGUCUGUCCCCUUCGAUUUAGAUUCCUAACUACUCCCACAUUUUGCGGUGCAGAGUAAUCAAAACCGGGUAUCUUAUAGUCGUGAUGCAUAUCGAGCCCUUCUGGGUAUUAGCGCUCGUCUACGAUGAGUCUACGAUUUUACAAAUAAUUUACCAUCAUUUUUUUCCAUUUUUAUGCAUUUUUUCGCUAUUAUAUAAGGGAAGUAAUUCUCUAAAAAUGUCUACGAUGAGUCAACGAUUUAAAAAAAUUACCAUAAUUUUUUUUCCAUUUUUAAUGCAUUUCUUUGCUAUUUUUUGGCUAUAACUCUCUAAAAAUGCUUAUAUAGUUAUUUCCCUUACAAACCCGAGCAACGCCGGGCGAUACUGCUAGUAUAUAUAUAAAAACACUUUCUUGAAAUGUUUCCGGUACUUAUACCGAAGUUAUGCCUUUCUGGCUUUGAUUUGUAUUCAGCCUUGAAAUACAAACGUACGCGCAAGUCGUUGUAGGAUCGACUACUUACGACUAGCUAGCGCGAGUGCGCGCACCGGGACCACUGUUCGCUAGUAGUACCUGGCGGCAUAAAAUGAAAGAGGGAGGUCAUAACAGCGGUAUGUACUGAGAAAUGUGUAAACGGACUUGAUAGAUUACUAGGUGAUGUCUUAAAGUUCAAAUUCCGCCGAGGUCGACUUUGCCUUUCAUCUUUUUAGGGGUCGAUAAAUUAAGUACCCGUUACGCCCUGGAGUCGAUGUAAUCGACUUAAUACCUAUGUCCGUCCUUGUUUGUCCCCUCUGUGUUUAGCCCCUUGUGGGUAGUAAAGGAAUAGGUAUUUCGUCUGCCGUUACGUUCUGAGUUCAAAUUCCGCCGAGGUCGACUUUGCCUUUCAUCCUUUCGGGGCCGCUAAAUUAAGUACCAGUUACGCACUGGGGUCGAUGUAAUCGACUUAAUACCUAUGUCUGUCCUUGUUCGUCCCCUCUAUGUUUAGCCCCUUGCGGGUAAUAAAGAAAUAGGUAAUGUCUUAAAGAAAUCACAUUAUCGUUGGUGAUACAGAACUCUGGGUACUACUGAAGAAGAGAGGUCCCGGUGCGCGAUCUUACUUUGUUUAACAGAAUUGGCGAUCCUUUUGGUUGUUUACGCUUGUUUAUACUCGUAUACAUUCAAAGUUCACAAAUUUCUUUAUUUAAAUUAGGAAACAUAUUCCUUCCAUGCUUCCUGAGAUUCGCCAACACUACACCUGAUUUUCUCCCCUCCAUACAUACACAAGCAUGUAUCUGACUCAUGCAUUGUUUGCUUUCCAGACAUUUGUACUAUACUCUGACUAGUUGUGGUGCACCUAAGCACUGUAUACAAUAAUUUCAUUAUUAUAUUAUUAUAUAUAAUAUCAAUAGGAUAACAAAGCUUCUUUGUUGACGAUAUUUCCUGUUCGGUCGACACUUAUUUUCAGAUUACUGGAGUCCGUUGCUUUACUCGUAGCGACGUAUAACUUGGUCGUGUGUAAAUAUAAGGAGUGGGUAAAAAUACACCUACUCGAUCUAAAUUCUGGCCCUAUGCUUUGUUUACUGUGAAUGCGCGAGCGGAAUGGUUAGGAAUCUGCGCCCAUCUACGAUGGGAGGUAAAGGCAUAGUAUCGCAAAUCUAAACCCUCGAAAUUCACGAACUAUAUGACGGUGUAAUCCAGGGUUAAUCCUCGUUGCCAGAAUUUUAAUGUGUCUGUGGCAUUUGAUUGGCUAAAAUUACCCAAAAUUUGCAAAUUUUUAAAGCUCUUUUACUCUUUUACUUGUUUCAGUCAUUUGACUGCGGCCAUGCUGGAGCACCGCCUUUAGUUGAGCAAAUCAACCCCAGGACUGUAUUCUUUGUAAGCCCAGUACUUAUUCUAUCGGUCUCUUUUGCCAAACUGCUAAGUUACGAGGAGGUAAACACACCAGCAUCGGUAGUCAAGCGAUGUUGGGGGGGGGGGGACAAGCACAGACACAUAUACAUAUAUACGACGGGCUUCUUUCAGUUUCCAUCUACCAAAUCCACUCACAAGGCUUUGGUCAGCCCGAGGCUAUAGUAGAAGACACUUGCCCAAGGUGCCAUGCAGUGGGACUGAACCUGGAACCAUGUGGUUGGUAAACAAGCUACUUACCACACAGCCACUCCUGCGCCUAUUAAUAUUUUAUUUAUUAUUUCUUGUUUAAUAUAUUUACUGUCAAUCAGAAUAGGUCUCAAAGUUGCCAAUAGACAUGUCAUUCAUUCGUUAGCUUCCGUGAGUGCGUGAGAGCAAGUGUUGUCAACCCUGAACAGAAACUGAUGGCAAUCCCUCAAGGUCGAGGAUGAUGGUCUUCGCGCAAAUUUACUGGUGAGUCCGUAGGUGACCGAUAAGACCAAUUCUUGCUUGAAAAGAUCGGUCGCAGUGCGGAUAUCUAGUGCCGGAAGGGAGAGUCGCACGUGGUUGUUGUUGGCGCUCCUUCCGUCGUCGUCUUUUCUCCUCCAGCUCUGCAGACCUUUUCGACUCGAAAUUCGCCGUUCCCUCAUGGAUGGUGGUUUUCCAGAGUGGUCUAUUUUUUUUGCCGUUUCCUCCCAGUUGGUGAAGUUAAUGUCACACUUUUUGAGGUUCGUUUUCAGGGAGUCCUUGUAGCGUUUCUUCUGGCCUUCUUUUUGUACACUUGCUGUCUUUGAGUUGGGAGUGGAAGAUCUGUUUGGGAAGUCGUUCGUCAGUCAUUCUAACCGCGUGGCCGCUCCAUCUUAGUUGCUUCGAUGCUGGUCAUUUUUGCUUCUUGUAGCACGCUGACGUUAGUUCUUCUGUCUUACCAGCUGAUGUUGAGGAUCUUCCGAAGACAGCGUUGGUGAAAUUUAGAGAAACUAAUGAAUGAAUAACAAGUCUAACGACAAUUCUGGGGUCCUUUCUGAUUGAUUGCCAAUAUUUUAAUAUAAUGUGAAUAGAGUUUAAUGAUACAAAAAUAUUUUCGCUCAAUAAACACUAAAAAUCCCCGGUCUGGGAAUUGAAACCGCGAGUCUGCUGCCCUAACCACUGGGCCAUUGCGCCUCCACAUAUAUGAUAUAGGCUUUGGACUAUGUUGUGUGAUGUCAAUUUAAUAACAAAUUGAAAAGUAAAGUUCAGUUGUUCAGGAAAUGUUUACUUCUAGAAUUUAUCUCUGUAGAAAUGGAGUAACACUUCCAUUGUUGCAUCUCUGCUACUAAAAUGAUUCCUCUAUAUCUUAUGCUGUUGUUUCUCUCUUAUUUCAGAAUAUCAGACAACUGUGACAUCAAAGAAUUGCUUCCAUCAGAUUCAUCAUCAACAUUUAUUAUCUUUUAAAGACUAAAGAAAAACGUUAUAUGCAACAAAUAUAUAAUUCUGUGGUAAACUACAGUGAAAUAUUUCUUGUGAACGGAGUUUAAUGGCAGCAUUUCUCUACUGUAAAGUCUGCAAUAUGUACAAGAUGAAUUUGCCUUCUAGUAAUUAAAUUUGGAUGAAGUUUCAAAUAUGUUUGUGGCAUCUUCAGAUAUUGAUGGAAGUCAGAAUUGAUGGGAAAAUAGUUGUAAAACAUUUAAAAGAAAUAAAAGAUAAAAAGUGAAACAAGAAAAUAAACCGUAUAUUGUUCUGAGAGAAGAAAACUAUUGAAGCAAUG
rnacentral:lncRNA from 1 species